rnacentral:tRNA from 1 species
GAGGGUAUAGCUCGGGUGGUAGAGCGCAUGCUUAGCAUGCAUGAGGUCCUGGGUUCAAUCCCCAGUACCUCCA